CACUUUUCAAUAUAAAUUGGAUAACAUUGAGUUUUAGUAUUUGGAUAAUACUUUAAUAACAAAUCAUAAUCAUCCAAGAUAGGGCAUUUGGACUAGAAUCUAAAAUUGGUGUAGGAUAAUUUGCAAAUAGGGCUUAUCCUAUUCCAGCACAACUUUAGUUGAUGAAACAUAGUCUGUUAGACCAGCAAUACAGAUAGGGCACUUGGACUAGAACCUGAAGAUCCAAUCAUCUGGAUUUUUACCCAUAAAUACCAGCAUCUCCUACCUCCUCCCUCUGAUUUCUGUUCUCCAGUUCUCGCCGGUCAUUCUGCCUGUUUCUUUGCCGUUCAUCUCCAUGCCCGGAGAAUACUCAGAUUGCACAGCGUAUUCCGAGUCCUUUGCUCUGACUUAUCCCUUGCCUUUCUGUCUCGUUCUGUCUCCUCCCAUUUGUUCCUCAUAAAGGUGAAUUGCUCUGAAAUAAUGGCCAUAUUUUUUUCCCAUGUUCUGUACCCUUUGCAACUCAGCCUGUAUCCUUUCCAUUCCUAUUUGCAUUCCUUCAAAUUGCUCCUGUAGUUUUUGUUGAGUCCCUUCUAAACUUCCCACUCGAUCUGCUAAAUUUACCAUCAGGAUUGAUUUGCUCUGAUACCAAUGAUAAAGUUUUGAAAUAAUCUCACUUCGCCAAACAAGUUUAUAGAGUAAUUGAAGUUUAACAGGAUCUCAAUUCUUCAUUACUACACUUUGAUUACACGAAAUAGGACUGCUAUAGGAUUUCUGAUUUCAAAUAACAAAAGACAAUGAAAGAAAAAGAAAUAACAAGAUAGGAAUGGAUGUUCGAGAGGUCCACUGCUCUUCCCCUACUGCAAUUCCAUUCCCUUAAUUAAUUAUAGGUUAUUCUACUUCUAGACUAUUCCCAUAACCAACCGUGCAUGUGGCUUCAUCUCCUCAUACAUUCCUCUUUUUACCCUUGCUGCUUUAAUAGUAAUCUGUAUUGCGGGUCUAGCAUAGUCUUGGAAGAAAAGAAAUCCAUAAAUCACAGUUGUCGUGGCUAGAUAAUUACGAUGAGGAUUAAAUUUUAAAUAAAUUAACCAUCAAAGACUACCUAGAUUAGGACUGCCCAAUUCUAAUUGUAUUGAAAAAGAAACCCAAUUUAUCAAAUACUUAUCAAUUGUAUAAUACUCACCUGACCUGGAUUAAACUAAUUCCUAAUUUCGGUAACAUAAAAAUUGUGAUCAGGCUAAGCAAAAUUAGAAGUUAUCCUUUAUAAUAUAUUUAAUUGUGAUUUUCUUCGAUAGGCUCUAUCUUAACUCCAACUUAUCCAAAAAAAAACUUUUUCUUGGCUCGAAAAUUCCUAAUUAAUUACAAGCUAUAAAAGGAGCCCAAUGUUAGUAUACUAAAACCCGCUCUAUCAAAAUCUACCCAAAAAAUAGGAAUUUAAAACUGUUGAUAUAAUGUCACUUUUGUUAUCAUUUCCAUUAUGUAUUUUUGUACAUUAUUGAAGGUUAUUUUUGUC
rnacentral:lncRNA from 1 species